rnacentral:rRNA from 1 species
UACGGAGGGGGCUAGCGUUGUUCGGAAUUACUGGGCGUAAAGCGCACGUAGGCGGCUUUGUAAGUUAGAGGUGAAAGCCCAGGGCUUAACCCUGGAAUUGCCUUUAAGACUGCAUCGCUAGAAUCGUGGAGAGGUGAGUGGAAUUCCGAGUGUAGAGGUGAAAUUCGUAGAUAUUCGGAAGAACACCAGUGGCGAAGGCGGCUCACUGGCCCGGUACUGACGCUGAGAUACGAAAGCGUGGGGAGCAAACAGG